GAGUUUGAUCCUGGCUCAGAACGAACGCUGGCGGCAUGCCUAACACAUGCAAGUCGAACGAGACCUUCGGGUCUAGUGGCGCACGGGUGCGUAACGCGUGGGAAUCUGCCCUUUGCUUCGGAAUAACAGUUAGAAAUGACUGCUAAUACCGGAUGAUGUCGUAAGACCAAAGAUUUAUCGGCAAAGGAUGAGCCCGCGUAGGAUUAGGUAGUUGGUGGGGUAAAGGCCUACCAAGCCGACGAUCCUUAGCUGGUCUGAGAGGAUGAUCAGCCACACUGGGACUGAGACACGGCCCAGACUCUACGGGAGGCAGCAGUGGGAAUAGUUGGACAAUGGGCGAAAGCCUGAUCCAGCAAUGCCGCGUGAGUGAUGAAGGCCUUAGGGUUGUAAAGCUCUUUUACCAGGGAUGAUAAUGACAGUACCUGGAGAAUAAGCUCCGGCUAACUCCGUG
rnacentral:rRNA from 1 species